UAGUCCACGCUGUAAACGAUGAUCACUCGAUAUUGGCGAUAUACUGUCAGUGUCCAAGCGAAAGUGGUAAGUAUCCCACCUGGGGAGUACGUUCGCAAGAAUGAAACUCAAAGGAAUUGACGGGGGCCCGCACAAGCGGUGGAGCAUGUGGUUUAAUUCGAUGAUACGCGAGGAACCUUACCAGGGCUUAAAUGCAUAUUGACAGGGGUAGAGAUACCUUUUCCUUCGGGCAAUUUGCAAGGUGCUGCAUGGUUGUCGUCAGCUCGUGCCGUGAGGUGUCAGGUUAAGUCCUAUAACGAGCGCAACCCCUGCCGUUAGUUGCCAGCAUGUUAUGAUGGGGACUCUAACGGGACUGCCGGUGCAAACCGUGAGGAAGGUGGGGAUGACGUCAAAUCAUCACGGCCCUUACGUCCUGGGCCACACACGUGCUACAAUGGCCGGUACAGAGAGCAGCCAUGUCGCAAGGCAGAGCGAAUCUAUAAAGCCGGUCACAGUUC
rnacentral:rRNA from 1 species